rnacentral:rRNA from 1 species
UGGGAAAAUUGCACAAUGGGGGAAACCCUGAUGCAGCGACGCCGCGUGAACGAAGAAGGUAUUCGUAUCGUAAAGUUCUGUCCUAUGGGAAGAUAAUGACAGUACCAUAGAAGAAAGCUCCGGCUAAAUACGUGCCAGCAGCCGCGGUAAUACGUAUGGAGCGAGCGUUGUCCGGGAUUAUUGGGCGUAAAGGGUACGCAGGCGGUUUAAUAAGUCGAAUGUUAAAGAUCGGGGCUCAACCCCGCAAAGCAUUGGAAACUGAUAAACUUGAGUAGUGGAGAGGAAAGUGGAAUUCCUAGUGUAGUGGUGAAAUACGUAGAUAUUAGGAGGAAUACCAGUAGCGAAGGCGACUUUCUGGACACAAACUGACGCUGAGGUACGAAAGCGUGGGGAGCAAACAGG